AGCAGCCGCGGUAAUUCCAGCUCCAAUAGCGUAUAUUAAAGUUGUUGCAGUUAAAAAGCUCGUAGUUGAAUUUCGGGGUCAGUAGGUCGGUCGUGCCACUGGUAUGAACUGGUUUCACUGAUUCCUCCUUCUUGUAGAACCGUGAUGCCAUUAAUUUGGUGUUGCGGGGAAACAGGACUGUUACUUUGAAAAAAUUAGAGUGUUUAAAGCAAGCUAACGCUUGAAUACAUUAGCAUGGAAUAAUGAAAUAGGACGUCGAUCUUAUUUUGUUGGUUUCUAGGGUUGACGUAAUGAUUAAUAGGGAUAGUUGGGGGCAUUAGUAUUCAAUUGUCAGAGGUGAAAUUCUUGGAUUUAUUGAAGACUAACUACUGCGAAAGCAUUUGCCAAGGAUGUUUUCAUUAAUCAAGAACGAAAGUUAGGGGAUCGAAGACGAUCAGAUACCGUCGUAGUCUUAACCAUAAACUAUGCCGACUAGGGAUCGGAUGAUGUUAAUUUUUUAAUGACUCAUUCGGCGCCUUAC
rnacentral:rRNA from 1 species